rnacentral:rRNA from 2 species
AGAACGUAGCGAAAUGCGAUACUUGGUGUGAAUUGCAGAAUCCCGUGAACCAUCGAGUCUUUGAACGCAAGUUGCGCCCGAAGCCAUUAGGCUGAGGGCACGCCUGCCUGGGUGUCA